UUAACACAUGCAAGUCGAGGGGCAGCAUGGUCUUAGCUUGCUAAGGCCGAUGGCGACCGGCGCACGGGUGAGUAACACGUAUCCAACCUGCCGUCUACUCUUGGACAGCCUUCUGAAAGGAAGAUUAAUACAAGAUGGCAUCAUGAGUCCGCAUGUUCACAUGAUUAAAGGUAUUCCGGUAGACGAUGGGGAUGCGUUCCAUUAGAUAGUAGGCGGGGUAACGGCCCACCUAGUCUUCGAUGGAUAGGGGUUCUGAGAGGAAGGUCCCCCACAUUGGAACUGAGACACGGUCCAAACUCCUACGGGAGGCAGCAGUGAGGAAUAUUGGUCAAUGGGCGAGAGCCUGAACCAGCCAAGUAGCGUGAAGGAUGACUGCCCUAUGGGUUGUAAACUUCUUUUAUAAAGGAAUAAAGUCGGGUAUGGAUACCCGUUUGCAUGUACUUUAUGAAUAAGGAUCGGCUAACUCCGUGCCAGCAGCCGCGGUAAUACGGAGGAUCCGAGCGUUAUCCGGAUUUAUUGGGUUUAAAGGGAGCGUAGAUGGAUGUUUAAGUCAGUUGUGAAAGUUUGCGGCUCAACCGUAAAAUUGCAGUUGAUACUGGAUAUCUUGAGUGCAGUUGAGGCAGGCGGAAUUCGUGGUGUAGCGGUGAAAUGCUUAGAUAUCACGAAGAACUCCGAUUGCGAAGGCAGCCUGCUAAGCUGCAACUGACAUUGAGGCUCGAAAGUGUGGGUAUCAAACAGGAUUAGAUACCCUGGUAGUCCACACGGUAAACGAUGGAUACUCGCUGUUUGCGAUAUACUGCAAGCGGCCAAGCGAAAGCGUUAAGUAUUCCACCUGGGGAGUACGCCGGCAACGGUGAAACUCAAAGGAAUUGACGGGGGCCCGCACAAGCGGAGGAACAUGUGGUUUAAUUCGAUGAUACGCGAGGAACCUUACCCGGGCUUAAAUUGCAGAUGAAUUACGGUGAAAGCCGUAAGCCGCAAGGCAUCUGUGAAGGUGCUGCAUGGUUGUCGUCAGCUCGUGCCGUGAGGUGUCGGCUUAAGUGCCAUAACGAGCGCAACCCUUGUUGUCAGUUACUAACAGGUUCCGCUGAGGACUCUGACAAGACUGCCAUCGUAAGAUGUGAGGAAGGUGGGGAUGACGUCAAAUCAGCACGGCCCUUACGUCCGGGGCUACACACGUGUUACAAUGGGGGGUACAGAGGGCCGCUACCACGCGAGUGGAUGCCAAUCCCCAAAACCUCUCUCAGUUCGGACUGGAGUCUGCAACCCGACUCCACGAAGCUGGAUUCGCUAGUAAUCGCGCAUCAGCCACGGCGCGGUGAAUACGUUCCCGGGCCUUGUACACACCGCCCGUCAAGCCAUGGGAGCCGGGGGUACCUGAAGUGCGUAACCGCGAGGAGCGCCCUAGGGUAAAACUGGUGACUGGGGCUAAGUCGUA
rnacentral:rRNA from 1 species